CCCUGGUCUCGCUAGCACCUGUCGUUCAGGGCUGGACCCACGCGGCGGGCGGGUGAGGGGUCCCUGGCGCGCGGCCACCGCUCGCUCUGUGCCAGGUGCGGUGCGGCAGCGGGAGCGCGCGGAGCCCGAACCCUGUACGUGUGGCCCCGCCGGGCCGGUCGCUGCGAGCCUCGCCCCGGUCUCGGCCACCGCCGGGGAGGACGACGACGACGUGGUGGGGGACGUGCUGGCACUGCUGGCCGCGCCCCUGGCCCCGGGGCCGCGGGCGCCGCGCGUGGAGGCCGCUUUCCUCUGCCGCCUGCGCCGGGACGCGUUGGUGGAGCGGCGCGCGCUGCACGAGCUUGGCGUCUACUACCUGCGCUCGGGGAGCCGCCGAGGAGGGGGCCGCCGCGCCCCCGGGACCACCUGCGCCUGCUCAUCUGCAUCCAGUCCCGGUGCCAGCGCAACGCCUCCCUGGAGGCCAUCAUGGGCCUGGAGAGCAGCAGUGAGCUCUUCACCAUCUCUGUGAAUGGCGUCCUGUACCUGCAGAUGGGGCAGUGGACCUCCGUGUUCUUGGACAACGCCAGCGGCUGCUCCCUCACAGUGCGCAGUGGCUCCCACUUCAGUGCUGUCCUCCUGGGCGUGUGAGCGGCCACCACAGGCCCUUCCUCUCAGGGGCAAAUGGAGCACAGAUCUAGACAAUGUGUGGACAGUGUCAGAGUAGCAGUGGCCACAUGGAGGAGGAGGCCCACCCGGAACUCUGCCCACACUGGCCAC
rnacentral:lncRNA from 1 species